rnacentral:tRNA from 1 species
AGGCGCGUGGCUCAGUGGUAGAGCGCUUCCUUGACGCGGAAGAGGCCGUGGGUUCGAUUCCCUCCGCGCCUA